GAAUAUUGCACAAUGGGGGAAACCCUGAUGCAGCAAUGCCGCGUGAGUGAUGACGGCCUUCGGGUUGUAAAGCUCUGUCUUCAGGGACGAUAAUGACGGUACCUGAGGAGGAAGCCACGGCUAACUACGUGCCAGCAGCCGCGGUAAUACGUAGGUGGCAAGCGUUGUCCGGAUUUACUGGGCGUAAAGGGAGCGUAGGCGGAUUUUUAAGUGAGAUGUGAAAUACCCGGGCUUAACUUGGGUGCUGCAUUUCAAACUGGAAGUCUAGAGUGCAGGAGAGGAGAAGGGAAUUCCUAGUGUAGCGGUGAAAUGCGUAGAGAUUAGGAAGAACACCAGUGGCGAAGGCGCUUCUCUGGACUGUAACUGACGCUGAGGCUCGAAAGCGUGGGGAGCAAACA
rnacentral:rRNA from 1 species